GAAGGCGAGCCAAUCUAACAAAUAAGCAGUGGGAAAAUUAUGAAAAUAAUGGCAUCAAGUAAUAAUGCAAACUUUUAAACUAUGAUUCCCAAUAACAGAGACAAAACUAACUCAGAAAAGCAAAUUAGGCAUCCAAUGACAAUAAGAUGAAUCCAUUUUUUUUUUAUGUAUUCAAUUUCAAACUAGAAAUCCAUGAUCAAAAACUAUAAUGAUCUGAUAUCACUAUGAUUCCCAAUAACUAAGACAACACUAAGAACUAAAUAAGGGCUGGCAUAGCUCAAUAGUGCUACCAUCACAACUACACUGAUACCACCGGGAUGGCUUCAAGUUCAUUCAACUCCCAUCUGCAGGUUUACCUACUUCAUUUGGUGAAGUUUAUAAAUUCCUAUCUCAUAAACUCUAGUGUUAGUACAUUAACAUGCAGAUGUAAAUGGGGAUUAAAACACUCAAUUACCCGAACAAUCAAGUUAUAUUUUAUCCAGCUCGCAAAGUAAUGAACCCCAUUAACGGCACUCAAAGUCAACUCUCUCAAGUUCAUAAAUUUUACAAGAAGACACAAUUAGAGAGCACAAAAAACACAAAUUAGUUUAAUUCCAUAAACAACAGCAGUACUAAGCACCAAAGACACAAAAAGGAGGGAAGCAGAGAG
rnacentral:misc_RNA from 1 species